AUAUAGGUCAAGCUACAAAGGGCGCAUGGUGAAUGCCUUGGCAUCAGGAGCCGAUGAAGGACGUGAUAAGCUGCGAUAAGCUUCGGGUAGGCGCACAUAGCCUGAGAUCCGAAGAUCUCCGAAUGAGGAAACUCACAUGGGAAACCCCAUGUAUCAUUAAGUGAAUACAUAGCUUAAUGAAGGUAACCCAGGGAACUGAAACAUCUAAGUACCUGGAGGAAGAGAAAGAAAAAUCGAUUUUCUUAGUAGCGGCGAGCGAAAGGGAAAGAGCCCAAACCGGAAACUUGUUUCCGGGGUUGUGGACAUAACAUAAAAGUGGAGGCUAUUGUAACUGAAGAGAACUGGAAAGUUCCACCGUAGAAGGUAAUAGUCCUGUAAGUGAAACGAGAAGACCACGAGUUAUGAUCCAGAGUACCACGAGACACGUGAAACCUUGUGGGAAGCAGGGAGGACCACCUCCCAAGGCUAAAUACUACCUGAUGACCGAUAGUGAAGCAGUACCGUGAGGGAAAGGUGAAAAGAACCCCGGGAGGGGAGUGAAAUAGAACCUGAAACCGUGUGCCUACAACCGCUCAGAGCCCCUUAUGAGGGUGAUGAGGUGCUUUUUGUAGAACGAGCCAACGAGUUACGGUAUGUAGCAAGGUUAAGUACUUAAGGUACGGAGCCGAAGGGAAACCGAGUCUGAAUAGGGCGACUAGUUGCAUGCCGUAGACCCGAAACCGGGUGACCUAUCCAUGGCCAGGUUGAAGCGAGGGUAAAACCUCGUGGAGGACCGAACCACGUUGCUGUUGAAAAAGCAUGGGAUGAGCUGUGGAUAGCGGAGAAAUUCCAAUCGAACCCGGAGAUAGCUGGUUCUCUCCGAAAUAGCUUUAGGGCUAGCGUCGAGUAUGAGUAGUGGAGGUAGAGCACUGAAUGGGCUAGGGGGCAUAGCGCUUACCGAACCUUAUCAAACUCCGAAUGCCACAUACUUUGAGCUCGGCAGUCAGACUACGAAUGAUAAGAUCCGUGGUCAAAAGGGAAACAGCCCAGAUCGUCAGCUAAGGUCCCAAAGUGUAAGUUAAGUGGGAAAGGAUGUGAGAUUUCUAAGACAACUAGGAUGUUGGCUUAGAAGCAGCCAUUCAUUAAAAGAGUGCGUAAUAGCUCACUAGUCGAGAGAUCUUGCGCCGAAAAUGUAACGGGGCUAAACUUACCACCGAAGC
rnacentral:rRNA from 1 species